AUCCCAUGAUAAGGGCAUCUACGUAGUAACUCCUUGAAUCUUUCCCAUGCCUCGUAUAAGGACUCAUCAUCCAAUUGUUGAAAAGUGGUGAUCUCAUUCCUCAACUU
rnacentral:snoRNA from 1 species